rnacentral:pre_miRNA from 14 species
AAUCUUUGAGUCCAUACUAUUACCCUGACCUGAGCAUUGACUUGACUGUUGAAAUCAGUAAGUGCUACUUGUUGGGGUAGUUUUAAAAGA